rnacentral:rRNA from 1 species
AUUGAACGCUGGCGGCAGGCCUAACACAUGCAAGUCGAGCGAGCGGCGGACGGGUGAGUAAUGUAUGGGAAUCUGCCUGAUGGAGGGGGAUAACUACUGGAAACGGUAGCUAAUACCGCAUACCAUCGGAUGAGCCCAGAUGGGAUUAGCUAGUAGGUGGGGUAAAGGCUUACCUAGGCGACGAUCCCUAGCUGGUCUGAGAGGAUGACCAGCCACACUGGGACUGAGACACGGCCCAGACUCCUACGGUAGGCAGCAGUGGGGAAUAUUGCACAAUGGGCGCAAGCCUGAUGCAGCCAUGCCGCGUGUAUGAAGAAGGCCUUCGGGUUGUAAAGUACUUUCAGCGGGGAGGCGUUACCUGCAGAAGAAGCACCGGCUAACUCCGUGCCAGCAGCCGCGGUAAUUC